CGGAAGUAGCUCAGUUGAUAGAGCAUUAGCCUUCCAAGCUGAGGGUCGCGGGUUUGAGCCCCGUCUUCCG
rnacentral:tRNA from 50 species